UCAAAACUCCAGGUCUACUCUAAGGUGGAGAGGGGGAGAAUAGGAGAGACAAGCAAAAGCUCUAGCCUAUGAACCACUGAAUCCCUCCUAUUUAUAGAGGUCCCCUAUCAACUUAACCAUAAUGGAUCCAACCCUAUUGGGUAUUGGAUCUCCAUCCAAUUACCCAAGCCUCUUAGAUUAGUGGAUCUCUAUCCAAUAAUCUCUCAUUGGCUCUUAUUGGAUCUCAUCCAUAGGAUCCAAUAAUUCAUGAGCUUAUUG
rnacentral:lncRNA from 1 species